rfam:Ictidomys tridecemlineatus contig096630, whole genome shotgun sequence.
GCGGUUGUGGCUCAGUGGUAGAGUGCAUGUCUAGCAUGUGUGAGGUCCUGGGUUCGAUCCUCAGCAUCACA